CUUGUUUUGUUCUAAAACUUCAACUAUAUCUUUGUGAAACCACAAUCUAGAGCGCUUUUCAGGAUGAUCGGGUGAUUCUUUUCGAACAAUUUCUUUACCCAUAUGCUCUAUCAAGUCAUGUAAUCUCACAUAAACAAAUUGAUGAAUCUUUAUGAGAGAUUUAUCAACCAACACUCUAACAUCAUGUUUUAUGCAAUGACCAUAAUGAGCAUGAAUUUGUCCCAAAUGAAACCAUUUAAAGAAACAUGCAAUAUCUAGAAAGAGAUUUUUCUGUUCUUCAUCCAAACCAUCAAAGCUAACUUUUAGUAUAUUUUGGAUAUCAUGAGGAGGAAUCCUUUUAUAUUUAUCUAAUGUAGAUUCCCAUUCUGCUAUAGGCGUUCCUGCCAAAUUGGAACCUAUGACAUCUAUAGCUAAUGGAAGGCCAGAAGCAUAACUAAUUGCACGGUUGACAAUAUCAUCAUUAAUUGAAUCAACUUUCUUAGUUUUAAAAGCCACCUGCUUAAACAAUUCAAGAGAUUCACCACAAUUUAAGCCUUCUACUUCAUAUAUUCUUUCAAUCUCAUGACAUGUUAACAAACUUUUGUCUCGAGUGGUAAUGAUGACUCUGCUGUUAGGACCAAACCAAUCAAAUCCUCCGGCCAAAAAAUUUAGCUGCUUCAACUUGUCAACGUCAUCGAGAAUCAAUAAGACCCUCUUUCGACGUAGCCGUUCUUUAAUGAUUCCAAUUCCUUCAUUGACACCUCCUAUCUUCACUUUCAAUCCGAUUGUUUUGUAAAGGAGUUGCUCUUGGAGAUGUUUUGCUGAAUUUUCUCUCACAUUUUCCAGGAAACACAAACACUCAAAUUGAUCAGCAAUAAAAUUAUAAACUGCUCGAGCAAGUGUUGAUUUACCAAUUCCUCCUGUUCCAUGAAUCCCAAUCAUGCAAACUUCAUCAUUACGAGCCUCAUUCAGAAGUGAGUUCACUUUACUCACUCGAGACUCAAGUCCAACAGGGUAAUCAACAACAUGUAAAGGAGUUCGCUUCAUCUUAUUGGAAACAGCUUGAACUAUAUCUCCAAUAAAUGUGUGUUCAUAUUCAUUCAUGUCUGAUCUGAAAGGUAUGAGUAUAUGCAUCACAAUCAAUUCCAUGUAUUGGUACGUAAAAAUAUUGCAAUUCAAAUAGUUGCAAAAUACAUAUCUUUCUUCUUUCCAAGUGUUGCCAAUUAAGUUAUGCCUUUAAUAAUUGUGUAGCAUAUGAAUUUAAAAGUCUUUAAUUAUAACUUGGCAUCAACCGUUGAGUAAAAAGUUUCCAAUUAUUCUAUUAAAAAAAAAGUUUCAAAUUAUAAAUGGAUCUAAAUAUAAUAUUUAUUUUUUUUGAAGAAGCCAAAAUGAUAUAUAUUAACAUAAACAGUCUCCCCAGCACAAGACGUACCAAAGAAGACUAAAGAAUUACAAAAGAGUCAGAGAAAUACAAUCGAAAUAAAAUCAUACAAGGCCCAAACACAUCAAUGGACUAGACCACCAGCUAUGGUAGUUUAAACUAAAUAUAAUAUUUCAUUGAUACUAUUUAUAGAAUUAACUUAAUUAUUUUAAUUUAUAAUAUGAUAUUUGACAUAUAAGUAAAUAUGUAUUAUUAAAUGACAAGAAUUGAGAUGUCUAAAUUAUCUAAAAAUUUAUAUCCAUAUAUGAUUAUCAAGACAUACAGUUACAUAACUCGUAUUCUAUAUAGUGUUAUCAGAGACGUAAUUUUACUAAGUUUAACACCUGAUGCAAACGGAUCAUAUGUAUAUAAAAGAUGGGAAAAGAGGAAUGAAUGAAGAAGGGUACCCAGUAUUGAAAUGGUAGCCGGCAAUGUUAGCAGCUUGGUUAAGAGCUAUCUUCCAUUGAUGCAACCGCUCCAUGUUUUUCUCAUUAUUUUGGAACUUCUUUUCGUGGUCGGCAAGUGCUUUACAGUAAUUACCUUUCUGAUGCCGCACGUCAGAAGGAUCCACACCAUAAAAAACAGGAAGAACAAGGCGACGCUUUUCUCUGAAGCCAUGCAUGAUGUGGACAAGUUCGUCCAAACAAAACGAAGAAGAAGCAUAGUCGAUAGAAAAUAUAGGAAUAUAAAUUCUAGACUCAUUAAUGGUUUUGAUGAGUGUUGGUGUGAUUUCAUCCCCUCUCUUAAGAUCAUUGUAAUCAAUAAAGGUGUGGAUUCCUUUGUCCUUAAGAGCAUUGUAGAGAUUAUUAGUAAAAACAUACCGAGUGUCAAUGCCCCUGAAAUUGAGGAAGACUUGGUAAUUGAAAUAUUCAUUGGGAGAUGAAGAGGAAGAGGAAGAUGACUGAAGAGCCAUAAGAAUUGAGAAGAAAUGAAAGCAAGAAGAGUGAGAAUAUGAGAAUUGAGAAAUUGAUCCUAAAUAUUGCAAUUGGAAGCAUUUCCUAUAUAUAUAUUGUUACGGACGCGUCACACAAUAAUAUUUUACUAUCAUAAUAUAACUUCUGCUGAAGUUGUAAUAAUAAUAUAGUAAUGACUUUUGCUGAGGCAGGCAGCUUCCAUAUAACUUCUGCUGAAGUUGUAAUAAUAAUAUAGUAAUGAAGGUGGAUAGGAGGAUAAUAUUGAAGACUAGUUCUACUGAAUUACUAUUUCCUUAUUUUCUCAAAAGUCUUGGUUAAGUUAGGAGUUAUUAGCAAGGGAUUACAAUUUAAAAUAAAAUAAAUGUGUUGGUAAUGUGACUUGUUGAUAAUGUCUCUUUACAGAGAUUGCAAUUCAAUUAAUUAACACCACAAGUGGAAAACCAAAUAAUAUAUAGAUACUGUAAGUUGUAACAAACAAACUACCCAUUCUGAAACUACGUUCUCAUCUUCCGUGUGAACCAAUGUAGGAAACUUCCUUUGGAUGGGUGGAUAACAUUGAAGACUAAUUCUACUGAAAAAUCUGCCUUUACUAUGUCUGAAAACUUCCUUCUCAUCAAUAAUAUAGAGAGAGUGUAACAAUCAGACUACUUCUUUUUGCGCCCCUUGGCUGUUCUCGCGCGCACCUAGAAUUUUUAAAAAAUACCUCACUAUUUAAGUAGCAAACUCAGUUCGCUUGUGUUUUUUUCAAAUUUUGCACCCUUCAACACUCACUAGUUAUCUUGCGAGAAGGGUAUUUUUGGAAAUCCAGGUGGCACUUGAGAAACUCACUAGUUUCCGCAACUGCAUCACACUGCAAUUGCGGUGUAACCUUUAAUCAGUUAUACGACCGCAACAUAACUGCAUUAGAAAUCGUAUCAUACAAAUUUAGACAUGUUUGUUUAAAUUUUUUUUACUAAAAACUAAUAUUUUAGAAUCCCAAAUCUCAAAAUGUUUCAUAUCUAUUAAAAAUCUUACUUUUAACGGUAUCUCAACUUUAUAUUUCAAGCAUGUCUCAAUCAUUAUUUACGGAGCAAAUUGAGACUCUAUUAUUGUGAGUAAAUAGUAUAGUAGCAUGGUGGUACCACUUACAGUAAUUAGUAGUUUGUGAAAGUUAAUAACCAUUUCACGCCGUAACGACCGCAAUGACUGCAACCAUUAUUUAAAAUAAGUAAAUGUUGGCAAUGUGACUUAUUGAUAAUGUCUCUUCACAGAGAUUACCAUUCAAUUAAAAUCGCAAGCGGAAAAAUCAAAUAAUAUAUAUAAAUAGUGUAAUGUAAUUACUAUUAGAACCAUUACUUUGUGUUUGAGAUUAAGACAUAUAAAAGCAAGUUUUACUUUUUUCAAUUUCGUUAUUCUUGUGCUGUCUGUAACCUUUCACUCUGUUACUCCUUUUUUAUCUUAUUUUUAUUUGUUUUAUAUUAAUGUAUUACACAUAAUACUACAUAUUAAUAAAUUAUGGAAAGUUAAAAUAUGUUUUUUUUUGGAACAGACAUAUAGCAAAGUCAGUUGUACCUUUUAUGUAUCUUCCUACCAGAAAUUAUUGGAGCAGCUUAAUUUCUCCAUAGCAAAGUCAGACAAAAUUUCAUCGGCAGAAAGGGGGCCACUACCACAGACCCUGCAACCAUUGAACCCGGAGUAAGAAUAAACUUCACUGUUUUUGGCUUAUAGUAGGAAGAUAUUUGAAUUAAAUAAUCAAAACAUCAAAGUCAAUUUUCAACAUAUAGGCUUAGUAUAACUGUAUAACGAAUUGAAAUUCAGUUUGAUACAACAUGAUAGAAAUCUAAAAGUAGGUGAACCAAAGUCAACCAUAGUGCCAACCAGUGGCGGAAGCAGGAAAAACUAAUUGGGUGGCCCACUAAAAAAUUUAUGGCUUAUAGCUUAUAAGUUCGUAUUGAAAAUGAAAAAAAAAACUAUUAGGUAACAUUUUUCAUGAGCUUAUAGCUUGCUAGUUUAUAUAUAGCUUAUGAACUAAUAUUUUCACCAACGCUUGAACUAAUAUGUGUACCGAGUGACUUACAAUCAUCAAUAACAAACUCUAAACUAAAAUUUACAUUAAUAUUUGUACUAAUAUGUAUACUGACUUAAAAUCAUUAGUAAUACACUUAAACUAAUACUUCAUACCAAUAGGGACAACCACUCAAAAACAACCAACCAAGUUUGAUACAAUUCGAACAACACUAAGAACCAUAAUCAGUACUAUAGACUCAAAGUCCAAUACCAACACAUAUUAACAAUACCUAAUCCUAUAAAUGUGUGAAGGUAAGAAUCUAACCUUUUACACUUUGUGCCGACCACUAUGCAACUCCUUCAACCCUAGGACAGGAGGCGAUGAUUUGUUAUUGUGAUUAUUGUUUUUGUUCUUGAACUUUUUACAUUUCAGCAACCUGAUGACAAGUGAGUAAAGCAAGAUCAAAUAAUUAAAUAUUUCAUUCUCCUAUCAGAUCUCCACCAUCUCGGCAGGCACCGCAUGUAUCAUCAUUUCGAUCUUCACCCGCAACAUCAAUGAAGUGAAAACUUAAGUUCAGACCCAUUCCUUUCUUGGACUUGGUAACUAAUCUAGUUGGUAACUACUACUCCUACAUAACAAAAUACGGAGUAAUAAAAUAUCUGAUCAACAAAAAAAUGAACCUUAAUCUACAAGAAUGUAAUACAUUAAAGGCAUUGCUACAUUGAAGUCUACAAUAUUUAAACAGAAAAACAAAAUGAUAUACAUUAUGACCUGCCACAUAUUUUCCAAACUUAAUAUACACUGAUAACAAUGAUUUUUAAGAGAAUCAUUGCAACUAGCAAUAAAAAAAUCUCCAAUUUUAAGAAGUAUCACAAAAUCCCCAAUUUUGGACAUAUCAAAAACCCCUAACGAUGAUUUGAUAACACAUAUAUAUUACUUAUAGUCGCAAUUGCAUAAUCAUUCAACCAAUUUAAUAUAAUUAGAGUCAUAUAAAAAAAUCCCAAAUCAUAGUUUCAAAAACCUAACAAUGGAAAUUGAAAACAGAAAAAGAAGAUAUGAUUAUUGUUGAGCAUUACCUGUGUCCUGUUGUUGUUGAAUGGAAGACGACGUGGUGGACGGAGGAAGGUUGUGGCGUGCGACAGAGAGAUAUCAGAGCUGGGUUUUGUGAAACGAUCAGAAGAAAGUUUCAGACAUUUGCGAGGGAUAGGUGAAAAAAAAGGAACGCGGGAGAAAUGAAAUUGGAUUUGAGUACGCCGUAUAAUAUUAUGGCUAGUUUAAAUUAGCUUAUUUUUUAGUUUACCAAAAAUAGUUUACGUAAGUAAAUAAAUAAAUAUUUAUGUUAAAUUAUAAUUUUUUUUGUUAAGUAGUCCGUUGACUAGAAAUUACAUUUUUAAGAUGAAUAAGUGGAAUGAUCAGAGUUUGAACUUGACUCUUAGCUUACAUAUAUAAUGCAAUUACCUUACCAAACUAGCUAAGUAAAAAUUGUAUCUUCAUAAAAUAUCUUUAAAAACUUAUAAACAAUAUAUAAAAAUUUAUUUAUUUAUAUAAAUUAUUUUGCAUAAAUUCAAAAAUAACUCAAUCCAAACAAACCUUUAAGCAUAUGUCAUCGAAUAAAGUGGGUAGCACUCUUUCUGUUAGAAUGCGUAGAAUCAUCUAACUUGAUGUAGGUAGAAGCCUAUAAAUAAGGGAUAACUUAUCAUUUGUAAAGUCUUAUCUGAACUUAGGUUCCGAUUGUAAUACCUCAAAGCAAAGAGAGCCUGAAGUUACUCGACGAACAAGUCAUCAAGGAACAAUUGCUUGAUCAUGAUGAUUAGUGUGUGGUCCUUGUAGAUGGUAUCAGAGCAAUACUUCUGCAUCAUAAUUGUUUCUUGCUUAUGGCGCGUAACACCAAUACCGGUGUGGUUAACCCGCAGCCACCUCUGCCGCAUGAUACGUUGCAGAUCCCUGGGAAUGUAUACCACAUCCAUCCUUCUGAAGGACCUUCAUCAAUGUCUAUUACUCUAGUUCUAACGCAUUUGAAUUACCAUGCUUGGGCGCAUUCAAUGCGUCAUGCACUUGCUGCAAAAAAAGUUCGAUUUUGUGGAUGGUGUGAUUCCAGUUCCAUCGAAGUUUGAUCCUAGCUUUAAGGAAUGGUCUCGGUGGAAGAGUUCAUAGCUCAGAGUAUUGUGUGUCUCAAAUAUGCAAUCGAGUGUCUUUCGCAGGGUGACAUCAAUCGUAUAUCUGAAUUACAGAUCGAGAUCUAUGGACUCAAGCAAGGUUCAAGGUCAGUUUCAUAAUUCUUUACUGUUCUCAAGGAUCUUUGGGAAGAGCUGGAAGCAUACUUCCUAUGUCGGUUUGCAAUUGUGCUGACUGCUCACAAAUGUGUUUGCAUAACUGGUAUUACCAAUGCUAGGACUCAAUAUGAUUUGAUUCGAACUAUUAGGUUCCUUACUCGUUGAACAAUAUAGUUCUGAUCUUGUUAGAUCACAAAUUCUCCUAAUGGAUCCUUUGCCUCAGAUUAAUGAAGUCUUCUCUACGUUAUUCAACACGAAAGACAAUUUAUGAAUGCAGAAGAUCAAGAGGAUAAUGAUGCAAAAAGUUCUAAAGGCAUUGAUUCAUUUGUUCUUACUAAUAUGAAAAACUAGUGAAUCUUCAGCAAACUGCUACUAUAACUCAUGGUGCAUCCACAUCAGCUCAAGUGAAUGCAACCUCACAUCAUUACAACGGUACCACGUGAUUGAGGUAUAUUCUAUAAGCAAUUCAACAUAUGGAUCUUGGAUAAUUGAUUUUGGAGUUAGUGACCAUAUAUGUUAUGGCUUACCCUUCUUUGAUAAUUACCACAGCAUAACUCCUAUUCAAGUUAAAAUGCCAAAUGGUACCACUGCAUGUACUAAGAUUGCUGGCACAAUUAGUUCAUCUAAAGAACUUCAUGCUUUGUGCCUAAAUUUUCUCAUAUAACUCACAAUAUAAUGCACUGUGCUUUUCGAUGGUAUGCAUUGUUAUUUGUUCCAUACAUGAAAAGAGGAGCUUGAGGAAGAUUGGUUCGGGUGAAUUGAUUGAAGGAUUGUACUAUCUAACCUCAAAGACAUGCCCUAGACCAUGGCAGGCAACACCACUACCAAUCAUACUCACAGCUCAAAUGUCCAUUUCAGAUUAGGUCACCACUCAAAUAAUAGAUUGCAAAAUAUGCAACAUGAUUUCCCUUUUGUAACCUUAGAUGAAAAUUUUGUUUGACAUAUGUCACUAUGUUAGACAUAAAAAGCUUCCUUACAAAUUAAGUGUAAAUAAAACUAUCAAAUGUGGUGAAUGGAUUCAUUUUGAUAUACAGAGUCCUAUUUCCACUCAAUCUAUUCAUGGUCAUAAGUAUUCCUUAACUGCUAUUGAUGAUUUUAGUCGCUUUACUUGGAUCAAUUUAUUUAAAGAAAAAUAUGAAGUUAACCAAAUGUGGUGAAAAAUGGUUUGAUACUUGUGUUGAAACCAUAAGGAUAGAUAAUUGUCGAGAAUUCCUUAUCCCUCAGUUCAAUGUUUCAAUAGGUAUAAACCACCAAACUAGUUGCCUUGAGACUCACCAACAAAACGGGAGAGUAGAUGUUAGCGGCCAACACUCAUAUAGAUAAGAUUCUAGAGAAGAGUUUAUAAAGAGGAGACCAUCCUCACCUUACAAGCCGGUUUUGUAAGGAUGAGUUAUGCCUCGAUAUUCAUGACAGUAGAAAGGAAACACCGGCAUAUCGAUCCUAAUUGUAGGUAGAGCCUUAUUGUUUCAGUCAAAAUCACCUAAACAAUUUUAGUCUCUUAUGCAAUUGUUCAUUCAUGCUACCUUCAUCAUAAAUAGAGUCAACACACCUCUUCUACAAAAUAAAUCUCCUUACCAUCUAUUAUAUGAUAAAUAGCCUAACUCCUAACUAACUAACAAAUAUACUAAUAUAUAGUAGAUACCAUUAUUAUUAGAUAAAAAUUAAGGAUGAAAACAAUUAUCAACAAGUUUAGAGCAUAGGAUUAGUUUCAAAAGAUAAAAAAAUUGCAAAUAAAUAGGAAAAGUAAAAAUAGUUAAUGUGGUAGCAGACUAGAAGAAAAUUUAACUUUGACACCAAAUGUAUCUUCAUUUACUGUGUUUAACUUGAAUGCAUAUAUACUAAUUCACCAUAUCAUUCAAAGAAUGCCUUUCUGUAAAAUGAAAACAUUUGUUGUUGCUGCUGCACAAACCCAUUCUCUGUUUCCACGAACGGAUCUGAAAUGUUGUGAAUAGUAAUAAUCAUCAUUACAUAACUUUCUCUUUAAUUUCAUAAACAUUGGUAAAUGAAGGAUAAGAAAGAAAAUAUAAAAAAUUGAACCCCAUACAAAUGCAAGACUUUAUUUGCUAGUUGGAUUUUGAAAGAUUUUUAAGGGCUAACUUUAUGUUUAAUAUUUUAAACUAAUUGAAAGAAAAACAGAUUACAUAAUAUUUCCAUAUAGAACAAUAUAGCACACAUGUAACACCAUAACACAAAGUACAUAUCAAAGUAGGACUUUCCAUAUAAUAGCAAUAAAUAAUGGAUUAUAAUUAAGAUUAAUAACAAAAUUUGAAAAUGUAACUCUAAUAACAAAUAAGAUUUAAUUUUAUCAUACAAAUAAUAAUGUCAUGCACCUGAAUUCAUGGCUGACUAUCUUUGCUUUAUCAGAGACAAUAAAGACAUACGGUUUUGCAGUUUUUCAUCCACAAGUUCUGUAUCUAAAUCUUCCACGUCCAACAAUUUUCUCUUUUUAUAAGGAUUGGUGAACCGGAUAUGGUCCAGAUUGUUUUCCUCCUUGAAAUACAAAUGAAACGUAUCCGUAUACUUAAACUUAAUUUCUGAAUGGAUCCAUUCAUUUUUUUCAAAUGCUUCAACCAAUUUAGGCAUUAGUUUCGGUCCGGAUAGGAAAUCAUGACAUUCAAUCUGUCGUUUCAGUUGCAGAUUAAAAAGAUAUGUAUGACUUGGCACUGGCAUGCCAAAAUAGAGAAAGUCAGAGUCGUACUCAACAUUCCUUUUAAAGUCUUAGAUGCACAGAUCAAAUGACAAUCCCGAAGGAUUAGCAUAAUGAUUAGUCGGUGAUUCAUCAAAAUUCGGCUUCGAAUUAGUAGUGAAGAAGAUCAUUAUGAAUGGCAACUUGUUACGAAACCAGAAAGGAAACGUUGUUCCUCUACUUCGGUGCUUAAACCCCUCCGGAAUCAUCUCGCCUUCUGCUGAUGGGAAACAAUACUCGGUGGUUCUUCCAGACUCAGGAACAAAAAUACAACAAUACCAUAUUCACUAACAUGCUUUUACUUGAGGAAUUCAAUGAUUUGCAGUUUAAUGCAGACAAUCUUCGUAGAUUUGGCGGAAUUCCGCAAAUAUCCUCAAGAGAAUGGCAAUCAUCUGGUUUAAGUCUAUGAAGAGAGGUACAUUCUUUAAGGAAUUCUGGAAGAACUCUGAAAUCGCUAACAGAUAGGUCUAGGAUUACCAUAUUCGCAAACCAUGUGAUAACCAUCGGAAGAAAUAAUGAGAGGUUGCUAAUUUCAAGAUACCACCAGCCACACUUCAAAGUGCUAUAACAUUGUCGAUAAUACUAUUGAUGCCAUUAUACGACCGGAUUUUCAUACCGUUCGCUCAGCUGGUAACACGACAGGAAAAGGGUAUAAAAGUAAUGCAAAGGAUGGGAAUUGGAAUGGUUCUAUCAAUCAUAGCAAUGAUUAUUGCGACACUAGUUGAAAUGAAACGGCUUGCUAUCGGACGCCAAAUGAGAAAUUAAGGGUUACAAUCAGAAAUAGUGCCGAUAAGCAUUUUCUGGUUGUUACCACAGUACAUUCUUCUCGGUAUUUCAGAUAUUUUCACAGUUGUUGGUAUGCAAGAAUUCUUUUAUGGUGAAGUUCCAAAGAAUAUGAGAACAGUGGGAAUUGCAUUGUAUACUAGUGUUUUUGGAGUUGGAAGCUUUGUGAGUGCAUUGAUGAUAACAUUAGUUGAAGUAUAAACAAGUUCAAAAGGAACUUCAAGUUGGUUUUCUGAUGAUAUGGUUGAAGCACGUUUGGAUAAUUACUACUGGCUUCUAGCUUUGUUAAGUUCUAUUAGCUUUUUGUUGUAUACACUAUUGUGUAAAUAUUACUAUAGGAAGAGUAAUCCAGAUAUUGAAAAUUGAGGUUUUUUUCUUCUUUUUCUGAUAUAGUUUUCAAGUGUAAUUUUAUCUUAGUUUGCCCUUUAUUUUUGGGACAAAGUUAGUUGAACUAGUAACCCUUGUCUUAAUAUAACUUUAAUUGUAUGAUGUUCUUUUUGUAAGAAGGAAAAGAAAAAAAAAAAAACUAACAAGACAUUUAUUUAUAAAAAAAAAACAAUAAGAUAGUAAUUUAUUCCACAGUUUCACGCACGUAUUACGUGUGACCUUGUAAGAGUUUAAGUGUUAACUUGAGAGUUUGACAACCUUGAUACUCAAUUCAUGGAUUAAAUUUGAUUCGAAAUCUAAAGUGAUAUCGGAGGAUUGUGAUGCAAAGUUCUGAUUUAGAAGUCAAUUGUUCAAGACAUGAAACAAUUAGGAUAUGAGGAUUAUGUUAGGACAAAGAAGUUCUCUACACUUGAUAUAACAUAAAAAAGCAUAGUGAUUACUAUAUAUAUACCUUCUGAUACAAGGUAAAUAUCUGAGACACAAUUUAUGGAUCUCCAAAAGAAAUACAUGAAGGUCUAGUUGAACAUAACAAGAUGAUGAAUCACACCACAAAACUACACAUUAUUUUCAACUGAAUCACCAAAGUCUUAAAUGAUCCUAGUGACCGAAAAUGCUUGAUCACAUUAGUCAUUUCAGGUCGGACAAGUUAGUUCCCCCAAACUAAGCAUAGUGGUUUUUUCUUUGAAGAGAAAUAGACUCACACACAUGAUGACACACAAGAANNNNNNNNNNNNNNNNNNNNNNNNNNNNNNNNNNNNNNNNNNNNNNNNNNNNNNNNNNNNNNNNNNNNNNNNNNNNNNNNNNNNNNNNNNNNNNNNNNNNNNNNNNNNNNNNNNNNNNNNNNNNNNNNNNNNNNNNNNNNNNNNNNNNNNNNNNNNNNNNNNNNNNNAUUUCAGUAAGUCAUUGUUACAAACAAGUAGGAGGUAUUAUUAUAACACAAGAAACAAAGUUUGGCAAUAUAUAAUGGAUUAUAAGAUUAAUAACAAAAUUUGAAAAUGUAACUCUAAUAAAUAACAAAUAAGAGAAUGAAAACAACCUAGAUGAUUUAAUUUAUCAGACAAAUAAUAAUAAAGACAUACCGUGUUGCAGUUCUUUUUCCACAAGUUCUGUAUCUAAAACUUCUUCGACGUCCAACAAUCUUUGAUUUUUCAGAAGUGGCCGGGAUUGUGAUAGUGAAGUAUCUUGAUAUAUAUGUUCCAGUUCAUCUAAUUUUCUCUUUCUACAAGGAUUGGUGAACCGAAUAUGGUCCGCAUUGUUUUCCUCCACGAAAUACAAAGGCAAUGUAGCCGUAGACCGAAACUUAAUUUCUGCAUGGAUCCAUUCAUUUUUUUCAAAUGCUUCAUCCAGUGUAGGCAUUAGUUUCGGCUGGGAUGAAUCCAGCCAGGAAUCAUCAAUUUCAAUCUCUUGUUGCAUAGGCAGAUUAUAAAGAUAUGUAUGACUUGGUGACAACCACUCAUGUCGAAACAGAUUGUCUCGGAUGUGAUUAAAAUUCCUUUUAAAGUCAUUGAUGAACAGAUUGAAUGACAAUACAGAAGAUGGUUCUCCAAGAUACUCCAUCUUCGAAUUAGUAGAGAAGAAGAUCAUUAUGGACGGCAACUUGUUACGAAACCAGAAAGGAAACGUUGUUCCUGACUCAUCGGUUGUUCCUCUAGUUUGGUGAUUAAACCACUCCGGAAUCAUCUCACCUUCUGCUGAUGGGAAACAAAACUCGGUAGUUCUUCCAGACUCAUGCAAUUUCUGAUGGGUUUAACAUAAAUAUGAGUUUAUAUAUAACUCAACCCACACCAGCAAUUAUUAUGUUGGCUUAAUUGCAGUUUUGGUCUUCUAUUUUACAUGUUCCACAAUUAUGCCUUGUAUUAUAAAAAAUUUGUGUUAUAAAAAAUUUGUGUUAUGACUAAAACUGCAUUAAAUGUUAAAAUAGAGGACAAUAAUGUUUGAUUUUAAAAUAGGGGGACCAAUUUCGUGAGAUUUGUAAAAUAGAGGAUAAAAAAUGCAAUUAAUCCUAUUAUGUUUUGAUCCUUAUAGAAAAAUUGAUUUAUGACAUGUUUGGAUUGACUUAUUUUUUAGUUUAUGCGAAUCAAUUUAUGCAAAUAAAUAAAUUUUUAUGUAUUAUUAUAUGUUUUUCAAGGUGGUUUAUGAUAAAACAACUUAUAAAGAUACAAUUUUUUUUCAAUAAAAACAUGAAUUAACAAAAAAGUUUAUUUAUUUGCAUAAGCUAUUUUCAUAAACUCAAAAAUAAGUCAUUUCGGUCAUUUCGAUAACCGUUUGGUGAAUUAUUGAUCUAAAUUGGGUUGUGUGCGAAGCUUUGAAGUUGUGACUCGAAAGCAGAAUUUUAGGGAGGGCAAAAUCCAAAAAAUUAUAAAAUAGGGGGGGUAAAAGUCCGCUUUUUUAAACAAGGGUUAAAAUUCCGAUUUAAUCAAAAAUAGGGGAGACAAAACUGCAUUUAAGCCAUCAUUUUUAAUAAAAACUCAUAAACCGUUAACUAUCAAUCUAAUAGUAGAUUUUGUGCAUUCAUGUUAGAAUGAUAUUAUUAACAUGCAUGAUAUGUAUCACUUACUUGUGCAUGUUAGAAUUGAAGUUAUAAAAAUAUCAAAUCAAUAUUUUGGCAAAAAAUACAACAAUACCUUAUUCAGUAACAUGCUUUUACUUGAGGAAUUCAAUGAUUUGCAGCCCAUUGCUAUCAAUCUUUGUAGAUUUGGCGGAAUUGCAGAAAUUUCCUCAAGAGAAUAGCAAUAAUUUAAUUCAAGUGUACGAAGAGAGGUACAUUCUUUAAGGCAUUCUGGAAGAACUCUGAUAUUGCUACCAAAUAGGUCUAGAUAUUUCAUAUUAGCAAACCGCAUGAUAGCCAUCGGAAGAAAUAAUGAGAGGUUGCUAAUUCCUUUGAGGCUAACAUCCUCCACUUUUGGCAUGUUGCAAAUGCUAGGGAACAUUAGCUUUCCAUUUGUAUCAAAAUUUAGUGAAACAAGCCCAAUUAGAUUUUGAAUUGAAACUGGAAUCUCUCCUAUGGAAGUUCCAUGAAUAUCAAUUAUUUUUAGUGUUUCGAUCUUGUCUAAUAUUUCUGGAAAAUUCUGGAGACUCUCACAAUCCCCAAGUUUCAGAUUUUUAAGAGAAGGUAAUUUCAAGGAUGGAAAACUCCUAAGCUUCGUGCAACCCUUAGCAUUCAAGAAUUCAAGUUUGCUCAGAAACCCAAUUGAGUUGUCAAUUGUAAUUAAAUUCACACAAUUUUUAAAUGAAAUUUUUUCUAAAUUUGGGAGACCGGAGACAUUUGAUAUCUCUGUUAAAUAUUCACAGUUGUCAAAGUUCAAAACUUUCAUAUUCUCAAAUUUCUGCAUAAAAAGAGAAAGAAAAAAAAAUAAGUAUAAAUAAAAUAAAGGUGAAUUUACAAUAUGCAUGAUAAAAAUUUAACUUAUUUCACUUGCCUUGUUCAAAAUACUAAAUGGUAUUGAAGGAUAUUUUUCCCAUUCAAGUACUCUCAAACUAUUUGGAAAAUAUCGAGACCCUUCGGAAAAAUUAGCAUUUUUAAUGAUAAGUGUUUUUAGAUUUGUCAUCUUCUUGAAGGCUUCUCCAUUCCAAUUUAUUUCGACUUCCUUUGAGGGGCAAUCCAGAUAUAUCAUUUUAGUUUCACUAGAUCCCUGUUAAAAAAAAAACAUGAAAUAACCAUAAUUAAUUAUGAUGAUAAUUUAGGACACAUAUAUAGAGAAAUUUACGUAUAAUCAAGACUAACAAACCAAUAUGACUUGAUAAAAAAAUAACUCCAAAAAGAAAUAUCAUCAAGCUUACCUUGUUUUGUUCUAAAACUUCAACUAUAUCUUUGUGAAACCACAAUCUCGUGCGUUGUUCGGGAUGAUCGGGAAAUUCAUUUCGAACAAUAUCUUUACCCAUAUCCUCUAUCAAAUCAUGUAAUCUCACAACACCAAUCAGAUCAAUCUUUGUGAGAGAUUUAUCAACCAACACGUCAACAUCAUGUUUUAUGCAAUGACCAUAAUGAGCAUGAAUCUUUUCCAAAGGAAACCCUUUAAAGAAACAUGCAAUAUCUAGAAAGAGAUUUUUCUGUUCUUCAUCUAAACCAUCAUAGCUUACUUUUAGUUUAUUUUGGAUAUCAUCAGGAGGAAUCCUUUUGUAUUUAUCUAAUGUAGAUUCCCAUUCUGUUAUAGGCUUCCCUGACAAAUUGGAACCUAUGACAUCUAUAGCUAAUGGAAGGCCAGAAGCAUAACUAAUUGCACGGUUGACAAUAUCAUCAUCAACUGAACCAACUUUCUUAGUUUUAAAAGCCAUCCACUUAAACAAUUCAAGACAUUCACCCAUAUUGAAGCCAUCUACUUCAUAUAUUCUUCCAAUCCCAUGACGUGUUAACAAACUUUUGUCUCGAGUGGUAAUGAUGACUCUGCUGUUAGGACCAAAC
rnacentral:lncRNA from 1 species